AGCAGUCGCCGCGGUAAUACAGAGGAUGCAAGCGUUAUCCGGAAUGAUUGGGCGUAAAGCGUCUGUAGGUGGCUUUUCAAGUCUACCGUCAAAUCCCAGGGCUCAACACUAGACAGGCGGUGGAAACUACUAAGCUGCAGUAUGGUAGGGUCAGAGGGAACUUCCAGUGGAGCGGUGAAUUGCAUUGAGAUUGGAAGGAACACUAACGAUGAAAGCACUCUGCUGGGUGGACAUUGACACUGAGAGACGAAAUCUAUGGGAGCAAAUGGGAUUAGAUACCCCCGUAGUCCCUGUCUCUUAUAC
rnacentral:rRNA from 1 species